rnacentral:tRNA from 1 species
GGGGCUGUAGCUCAGUGGUAGAGCGCGUGCCUUACACAUAUGAGGCACUGUGUUCAAUCCUCAGCACCACA